GAUGAACGCUGGCGGCGUGCCUAAUACAUGCAAGUCGAGCGAACAGACGAGGAGCUUGCUCCUCUGACGUUAGCGGCGGACGGGUGAGUAACACGUGGAUAACCUACCUAUAAGACUGGGAUAACUUCGGGAAACCGGAGCUAAUACCGGAUAACAUGUUGAACCGCAUGGUUCAACAGUGAAAGACGGUCUUGCUGUCACUUUUAGAUGGAUCCGCGCCGCAUUAGCUAGUUGGUAAGGUAACGGCUUACCAAGGCAACGAUGCGUAGCCGACCUGAGAGGGUGAUCGGCCACACUGGAACUGAGACACGGUCCAGACUCCUACGGGAGGCAGCAGUAGGGAAUCUUCCGCAAUGGGCGAAAGCCUGACGGAGCAACGCCGCGUGAGUGAAGAAGGUCUUCGGAUCGUAAAACUCUGUUAUUAGGGAAGAACAAAUGUGUAAGUAACUAUGCACGUCUUGACGGUACCUAAUCAGAAAGCCACGGCUAACUACGUG
rnacentral:rRNA from 1 species